rnacentral:lncRNA from 1 species
AGAGGAGUUGCCGUGCAUCCCAAGUAAGUCGAGCCUAUAAAAAUAUAUAUGUAUGUAUAUAUAUAUUUUUAUUUUUAUUUUGCAGCACGGAGAUGGUCCAGCAUGAGUUGCAAUUCGUGAGCGAUAGCUGCCAAAUAGCUGGGGAAUUGAUGCUGGGAUCAGAUGGAGCAUGAUGUGCAUGCUGGUCUUGGUGCUACAUGGCCUGGGCUGGAGCAUAUGCGUGCUGGGCCUGAAGCAAGGGCGUGGAGGAGGAUGGUGGUCUGCCCCCUGCCGAGGAUGUCGAGAGAUGGAAGCAGAAUGGUCCGGACCCUGAUGAUCUAUCUGCUGAAUAGGAUGAGUGCUUUGCUGAACCCCCACCAGAAAGGAAGGCCGAUGUCAAGUCUUCGAGAACUCCAGCUACUUCUUUGCAGGCGAGGAAUGUGUCUCCGUUGAGGAAGAAGCCA